UCCUCGGUAGCUCAGUUGGUAGAUGCGCCGCACUGUUAAUGCGGAGGUCCCUGGUUCGAGCCCAGGUCGAGGAGCCA
rnacentral:tRNA from 1 species